UGGGGAAUAUUGCACAAUGGACGAAAGUCUGAUGCAGCAACGCCGCGUGGAGGAUGACACAUUUCGGUGCGUAAACUCCUUUUAUAUAGGAAGAUAAUGACGGUACUAUAUGAAUAAGCACCGGCUAACUCCGUGCCAGCAGCCGCGGUAAUACGGAGGGUGCAAGCGUUACUCGGAAUCACAGGGCGUAAAGAGCGUGUAGGCGGGUAUAUAAGUCUGAAGUGAAAUCCUAUAGCUUAACUAUAGAACUGCUUUUGAAACUGUAUACCUAGAAUGUGGGAGAGGUAGAUGGAAUUUCUGGUGUAGGGGUAAAAUCCGUAGAGAUCAGAAGGAAUACCGAUUGCGAAGGCGAUCUACUGGAACAUUAUUGACGCUGAGACGCGAAAGCGUGGGGAGCAAACA
rnacentral:rRNA from 1 species